rnacentral:misc_RNA from 1 species
CUAAGGAAGGCGAAAGAUGAUGGAGAGUGCGAGAGCACUAAAGAGAAGUCAUCGAGAAAGCCAAGCGGAAGCACACUGAGAAACUUUGUUUAGUUUUGAGGGUA